UUGACAACCCCAGAGACUGAAUUUCUCUAUCCUCUGAGCAGGUCUAGUACAGGCAACAGCAGUGUAAACUUUGCAACCUUGUUUCACCAACAUGAGGGAGGGAGGGAGGGACUUCAUCUAAAGGUGAGAGGGUAAUUCAGCCUCCAUAUCCAUUCAGUCCUUGGCCUCU
rnacentral:sRNA from 1 species